rnacentral:misc_RNA from 1 species
UGGGCAUCCACUCGCAGGUGAAGGA